rfam:Aureobasidium pullulans var. pullulans EXF-150 unplaced genomic scaffold scaffold_5, whole genome shotgun sequence.
GGGGUUGUGGUCUAGUGGUAUGACAUCUUCUUAGCAUUGCUCUUCGAGCAUUACUGAGUGGAGAAGGUUCUGGGUUCGAUUCCCAGCUACUCCA